UCUUAUGUACAUGUCUAUAGUGUUAAUGCAUCGAAUCCCAUUAAAAUUUGUAGUUAAGCAUGCAUGAGAUAGAGUAGUAUUGGGAUGGGUGACCACUCAGGAAGUCCUAGUGUUUUACAUGCC
rnacentral:rRNA from 1 species